rnacentral:rRNA from 1 species
GACGAACGCUGGCGGCGUGCCUAAUACAUGCAAGUGGAACGCAUUGAUAUCACCGGAGCUUGCUCCACCGAUAUAAAUGAGUCGCGAACGGGUGAGUAACGCGUAGGUAACCUGCCUGAUAGCGGGGGAUAACUAUUGGAAACGAUAGCUAAUACCGCAUGAGAGUGUUUAACACAUGUUAGAGACUUAAAAGAUACAAUUGUAUCACUAUCAGAUGGACCUGCGUUGUAUUAGCUAGUUGGUAGGGUAGCGGCCUACCAAGGCAACGAUACAUAGCCGACCUGAGAGGGUGAUCGGCCACACUGGGACUGAGACACGGCCCAGACUCCUACGGGAGGCAGCAGUAGGGAAUCUUCGGCAAUGGACGAAAGUCUGACCGAGCAACGCCGCGUGAGUGAAGAAGGUUUUCGGAUCGUAAAGCUCUGUUGUAGCGGAAGAACGCGUGUAAGAGUGGAAAGUUUACACAGUGACG